UUUCGGGCGCCAUAUUUUUUUCUCUGUGGAUUCUCUUGAACCAACCAGCAAGAACUAUGUGUUCGGGAUUUUUCUUCUUUUAAUCCGACCUUCCAAGUGGAGGGAUACAAAGUCCUCCGUCACGAGGGUAAACCGUGUCGCGCUGAGAAGCACUUUUCUUCAUGUGGAUGCACUCUGAACCACAGAAGUUUGUAUUUCAAUGUAAGUGAUGAUUUUUAUUGUAGUAUGAUCUUUUAAAGUUAUAAAACUGCUGUUGUUAUGUAUAUUCAAGUGCUGGAAGCUCCGCGCUAACGCUAGCUGGAUUGGCAAUUAUUGGUGACGUCAUCGAACAAAAGUAACAUCCGAAAUAUGAGACAGCAUUUUUUCAUAACUCUCCGUUUGGAGGGCUAAAUGAAGGGGAAGGAAGAAGGGAAGAAUUUGGAUUGGACCUAACUUUUUCAUUGGUGUAAUUUCUUUUAAAUAGGCUACUAAAAAUGUUUUAAAUGUCUUCUUUUAAAAAAAAUCUAUUUAGAUUUAGACUCAGAACAUCACAGAUACUGAAAUCAUCCAGAAAAAUCUGUCCACCCGUGAACGACUUUCAAAAAUGUCAUAAUUUGGCAACACUGUCAUAUACAGUAUAUAUAUACACUGUAUAUGACAGUGUUGCCAAAUUGGAAAGUUUCCCACCCAAAUUAUGCAAGAGAAUCUGGCCACAGAGAAAAAAAUAUGGUGCUUGAAAAUUAAUAGCCGGAAGUCCCUCCCCCUGCCGGAGCCGGCGGCAAAGAAAUAUAAUUUGCGGCCGUAAUCAUUGGCUGUAAGGCAUCGACGGAAACCCCCAGUUUUAAGCUUUCUACCUUUUUUCCCUUUGCCACACCGUAACUGCCUACGUGAUUACCCGAUCCACCAAGAAAAAGCGAAAUUUCUGGUAAAUUGCAGCUAAAUGGACUUUAGGCUUGUAUGAACCCCUCAAUUUAUUUUAAACUCUUUGCUGUAGAUAAUGAAGGAAAACUGAGAUGAAAUAUUUAUGUCAUCACAAUAGUAUCAAUACUUCACCUUGGUGCAGCUGCUACUCCUUUAAAACGUUUUGUUUUUAUGUUGUAAUUUAAUAUAUAGGCCUAAGUUAAAAAAAAA